UACGGAAGGUGCAAGCGUUGUUCGGAAUUACUGGGCGUAAAGCGUGCGUAGACGGUUGCGUAAGUCGGAUGUGAAAUCCCCGGGCUCAACCUGGGAAUUGCAUUCGAGACUGCGUAGCUGGGGUGCGGAAGAGGGAAGCGGAAUUUCCGGUGUAGCGGUGAAAUGCGUAGAUAUCGGAAGGAACAUCAGUGGCGAAAGCGGCUUCCUGGUCCAGCACCGACGUUCAGGUACGAAAGCGUGGGGAGCAAACAGG
rnacentral:rRNA from 1 species